rnacentral:tRNA from 1 species
GGCGGCGAUGCUGCAAGCGGCGUGGCGCAGCCCUUACGCGGCCGAGUUCAUCAGUUCGAUGCCGAUCGCCGGCACC